rnacentral:lncRNA from 1 species
UUUUUUUUUUUUUUUUUUUUUGUUUUGAUAGUUUAAUCAGAAGAGGUUUAGACAACAUGAAGUACUGAGAUUUUGCUGUACAAUGAGCCACCACACACACACACACGCACCAAUAUAUCUACCAACUAGAUAAGAGGACAAUUGAAAUUCUCCGUUGAAUGCCAAGUGUCAAUAUAUUAUUAGAGGAAGGAGUUUAUUUUUUGAUUUUUGGGAUUUAAAGAGUGAGAAAUGUCUAUUUGAGACUUGAUCUCCAAAUUCAAGGGCUUAAUAGUUCCUUACUAUUUAGGGACUAAUUGGUAACAAUGCUUUAAUUAUUUUCAUUUGUUCCUUUUGUUUGGUUUUUAAUUGGUUGGAAAGGUCAAUUGAAUUCUUUUAUGAAAACUAGCUCAUUAAAUAGUUGCUAACUAUUCAUGGUUAUUUUUGUAGAUUUGAAAUUAUUUCUUUUAUAAUUUUCUAGUCAAAUGUAAAUAGUUGUAGACUAUUUGUGGGUCCUUUUAUAACAUAGACUGUUUUGAAUUGUAUUAUAGUAUUAAUUAUAUAAAUUAAUGGAGUCAUGCCCGUUAGUAUGACCGAUGACUGAUGACGUAAGUUAGUCAAUACCACCUUAAUGGUCUUAUUAGUCAGUGAAGUUCCUUUUUCUUCAUUUAGCCAGAAUUUCCUUCCUCUUUCUUUUCGUCGAAUAGCCUCUUUCUUUCCCUCGAAUAGGUAGCUAUAUAAGUCUGCAAAAUCUUCACUUUUCUACCAAUUUCUCCAACAACUAAUUAUCCUUCCUUUUGAUUGCAACCCAAAAAAUCCUCCACAUGCACGUGAAUUUUUGUUCUGCCCCAAAAAUUAGGUCAGUGAAAUUUCUUUUCCCCAAAAUCUACGAGCCUGCAAAAUCUUCAAUUUCCUGCCAAUUUCUCAAACAACUAAUUGUACUUCCUUUCGAUUGCCUCCCAAAAAAUCGUCCACAUGCACUUGAAUUCUUCUUUUGCCCCAAAAAUCAGUUCAUUGAAAUCUCUUUUCCCCCAAAAUCAGCUCAUUUUAGGGACGACUACUGUGCCAACUUAUCAUCUAUGGUACAACUUUCAGAACUUACUAUUCCCAGCCUUAUAUAUACUUCUGUUUCCAAGUUUUGCCGGUAUUCAAAAGACGAGCAAAGAAAAAAUAGGUAUUUUCUAUUUUCUCUCCUUCUAUUUUGAGCUGCAAUUUUUUAGUUUGAAUGUUCUUGCCUUCUGUUUAUUGCCUUCCGUUAAUUAAAGACUGCCAUGUGUUUGAUAUUAUGCAUAAAAGAAUAAUUAUGAUGGUAAUUUUUUGAUUAACUUAUGUUUACUUUUUUCUCUGUUUUUAUUAAUUUCAAAUGUUGCCGGACUUUUGCCAACAUUCAGGCGAGCAAAGAAAAUAUAGGUAUGUUUUUAUUUUCUCUCAUUCUAUUUUGAACUGCAAUUUUUUUGUUUCACUGUUGUUGCCUCUGUUUAUUGCCUUCCGUUAAUUAAGGAAUGCAUAUGUUUGAUGUUAUGCUAUGAUGGUUUACUUUUCCCUCUGUUUUUAAUUUCAAAUGUUGCAUGAUGCUGUUAGCUGUUUAUCUAUUCAAUAAUUACAUCAUUUAGUAUGAUUGUAGUUUGGGUUAUUAAGGUAGUCAUUUUGAUAUAUAUUAGUUAGUUUUAGCUAUUUUAGGAUGUUUUGAUUUUGUCAUUGUUGUGUGCCUUUCGCUUAGUAUCUUGCUUAGUUUAUAGUAAAAUUAGAUUUUGAUCUUUUGUGUUUCAAAAUGAAGAAAAAAAGAAAAUUUAGUACGGGUUUUAGAUUGAUAGAUGAGAUGUUUGAUGAUGCUUUUGAUCUAAGAAUGUUAGAAAGAAACAAAAAGACAAACUUAAAUAUGCUGAUUGAGCAUAUGAAGUUUACUGUCGAUUCUUCUGUUUCUCAGCCAUAUUCUCCUUUUGUAAUCAACUGUGAGAAUGACAUUCGUGAAAGCCACUUUGUUGAAACAUGUGUUUCACAAAAUCACAUCGAUAGGAAUCUAAUUCUGCCAAAUGACUGCAAAGGUAAAAAUGUUUGCUUUCCUCCAGAAAAUGCUGGAGAAAUUCAUUAUACCUCUGAUUCUACUGACAAUCAUUGUUUGCCCACAAUGAAUUCAUGUUUGAUCAAUCUCUCUGAUGUUGAACCUGUUGGUUCAUCACAAGUGAACUGCAAUGAGCAAUCCUUUGUUAUAGAAAAUCAGUUUCAAUGUGAACAAGUCACAAACGUUAAAGGAAAAAAUAGUUAUUUUGAAAUAUCAAAUCUAGAUAUGGAACUAGCUAAUUAUACUCCUCAUCAUCCCCUCUCUGUGAAUAGGCAUAUACCUAUAAUAGUUAGUGCUCCUGUUAUAUCUUAUGAUAAGAGCCCUCUUGAAUAUUCUAAAAUAUAUCAUGGAGAGGUAAUAAAUAAGAAAGAAUAUAGGAGACAGGCCUACUUUAGAUGGAAAAAGAAAAGAUUGAGAGCAAAAUCUAGAUCAAUUGCUUCUACAAAUACAACUGAAAAUCGAACAAGCAUCACAAUUGUUAAUGAGUGUUCCUCAGUUGUUGAUGUUCAGCGUAGUUCUCGAUCUCGUUCCAAGCAUCGCAGAUCAGCUCUCAAAAAACCCAGCCAGGUCUAUAGUUAAUACUUUUAAGUUUUCUAAUAUAUGUUUUUACACUAGCAUUAAAAUAAAUUGAAUGAUUUGACUACUAAAUGCUCUAAAAUAAUUAUAUUUUAGGAAGAGGGUGCAAAACAAGCAAAGCUUUGUUGGAUAUAAUUCCUGACAAAGCUGAUAUCCUACCACACCAACUAGAUUGUCCUCAUUGCGGAGCGAAGAAGUUUUUUUUCUGACACAACAUAUUUUUGUUGCCAAGAUGGUUAAGUUGUUUUGGCUCAAAAUAAAAUUUCAGAUAUCUUUAAAGAGUUAUUGAUUUCAUCUUCACAAGAGGUACAAUCUUUUAGAACUCUUAUUAGAACGUAUAAUAAUCAUUUUGGAUUCACUUCCUUCAGUGUUAAAGCUGAUCUGACUCUCUCAAAAAGGAUUAAAGGAAUUUACACUUCUAGAAUUCAAGGACAAAUAUAUCAUUUUCUGAAUGAUUUCAAUUCAAGCAAUGGUCAUAGUAAUAAUUUGCAAUUAUAUUUCAAUGACUUUGAAACUGAAAUAAGCAAUCGAUUAGCAGCUUGUCCUAGACUAUCUGAAAGUGUAAUUAGGAAAAUUAUGCAAGUUCUUGAGUCUAAUCCAUAUGCAAAAUUCUUUAGAAAUUUGAGAGAGAUACCUAAUUUAGAUAACUACUGCAUUGUGUUAAAAACUCUGCCUGGUGUUGAUCAAAGAGUUUAUAAUAGACCAACAACUUCACAAGUUGCAGGCUUGUGGGUUGAGGGGCAAGAAAAUGGAGAGACCAGCAGGCGUGAUAUUAGAGUUCAUAUCCAUAGUGGUGCUUCAAAAAAUAUACAAUACUAUUAUAGAUAUUACGAUCCACUCCAAUAUCUAAUACUUUUUCCUUUUGGUGAUCUUGGCUGGCACCAAGGAAUACCAAAGAAAGGAGCAAAAGUAUAUAGAAGAAAGGGGAAAAAAAAAAAGCAACAUGUAGCAAAUUUGAUUUCCCCUGCAAAUGCUGCUACAACAGAACAAUUAAUCCAAAAUGAAGAACAUAGUUAGUACAAUAACUAUAUGCCAUGAUCUUUCAUUUUACAUAUUUAAUAUUUAUGAUUACACAUUUAAUGAUGUACUGUUAUUAUUUCCACAGCAAUGGAAAGCAUACAUGAAGAUCCAAAUUUUGUGUCCCUUCGAGAAUAUUAUUGUUAUAAACUUCAGAUUAGGGACAAUGAUGAAUCAUGGUUAUUACAUUUUGCUCGACUCCUACAACAAUAUAUUGUUGAUCAAUAUAUGAAGCUUGAGACACAAAGACUCGACUUUUAUAGAUUACAACAAGAGGAAAUUAGGAGAGAGUUCUUGAAAGGCAUAAUAGAUGCUUUAAAAUCAGGUAAAAGUCAAGCAUGUAAUGUUGGCCAGCGUAUCAUAUUAACACCAUCCUUUAUUGGAGGGUCAAGAAAUAUGAGAUGUAAAUACAUGGAUGUAAUGACAUUAGUACAAAAGUAUGGUAAAUCAGAUAUAUUUUUGACCAUGACUUGCAAUCCUAAUUGGCCAGAAAUAAAAGAAUACUUAAUAGACAAAGAAGAGAGACAAAACAGAUCAGAUUUGCUUGUUAGAGUAUUUCAUGCUAAGUUAGAGCAGCUCAAAAAUGAACUUUUGAAAAAAUGCAUCUUUGGUGAAGUGGCAACUUACACUUAUGUCAUUGAAUACCAAAAACGUGGACUGCCACAUGCACAUUUCUUGCUAAUUUUAAAGUCAAAAUUCAAGAUGUAUACCCCUGAAAAAUAUGAUAAAAUUGUUUGUGCUGAGAUACCAAAUAAAGAGAAAAAUGAACAUCUAUAUAAUUUGGUCAUUAAACGUAUCCUUCAUGGACCAUGUGGUUCACUUGAUCCAACAGGUGUAUGCAUGAGAAAAAAUGGAACUUGCAAGAAUAAUUUUUCAAAAAAUUUCUGUGAGGAAACUAUCCAAACUCUUAAUGCAUAUCCUGAAUAUCGAAGGAGAGAUGAUGGAGUUCAAAUUAAGAUCAAAUCAGCUCUUUUAGAUAACAGAUGGGUUGUACCAUACAAUCCAUAUCUUUUGGCUAAAUUUGAUUGUCAUCUUAAUGUUGAAAUAUGCUCUAUAAUUAAGGCAGUCAAAUACAUUUAUAAGUAUAUCUAUAAAGGUCAUGAUAGAACAAACUUUUGUGUAGUAAAUAAUAAACUUGAUUCAGAAAUCGAUGAAAUUAAACAAUAUGUAUCAGCUAGGUGGGUGUCUCCACCUGAGGCAGCAUGCAGAAUUUUUAGAUUUUGAAUGAGUGAAAUAAAACUAGCUAUUAUUCAUUUACAAUUACAUUUGGAGAAUUAUCAGCCAAUGAGUUUAAAAAAAAAAAAGCUAAUCUUCAAAAUGUUGUCAAUAACUAUCAUUUGAAAAAAACAAUGCUCACUGAAUUUUUUUACAUGAAUAGGACAGAUAAAGCAACUUAGGAUCUAAACUGUACUUAUGUAGAGUUUCCUAAUCAUUUUGUCUGGUUACCUAAACAAAAAUACUGAAAAUUGAGAGAAAGAGGCGAAUCAAUAGGUCGAAUAAUGACUGCUCAUCCUUCUGAAGGAGAACGAUACUACUUGAGAUUACUCUUAUCAAAGGUUCGAUGUCCAACUUCAUUUGAUGACUUAAGAACCUUUAAUGGAGUUCAAGUAGAAACGUUCCAAGAAGCAGCAUUAAUUCGAGACUUGAUACAAAAUGAUAACAGCCAAGAAAUUUGUUUACAAGAAGUCUCACUGUUUCAUAUGCCCUAUGAAAUGAGGUGACUUUUUGCAACACUUUUGGGUUAUUCUUGCCCUAAUGACCCAAAGGCAUUGUGGCAGAAUUUUGAAUCUUCUAUGUCAGAAAAUUUUGCCAAAUGUUCAACAAUGACAUUUGCACAAGUGAAAAGAAAUGUCCUGCAACAAAUUGAUGGAUUUUUGCAAUCCAUAGGAAAAAGUAUACAUUCAUAUAAUUUGAUUCCCCCUAGAUUCUUUUAUGAAAAUAUAGAGAAUGAAACUUGAGAAUUAAGAGCAGAAAGAAACAUUGUCAUUCCAGAAACUGACUUGAAUUCAAUUAAACUACUCAAUGAAAAACAGAUAAAAGCAUUCAUAGUCAUAUCUGAGAGAAUUUACUCAGAUAGACCUAGUAUUUUUUUCAUUGACGGUUCAGGUGAUACUGGGAAAACAUUUCUGUACAAAGCUUUGUUAGUUGAUGUUAGAUCUAAAGGUUAUCUUGCACUUGCUACAGCUAUAUCAGGAAUUGCAGCUUCCAUUUUACCAGGUAGAAGGAUUGCACAUUCCAGAUUUAAAAUUUCAAUAGAUAUCUUUGAUGGUGUAACAUGUUGAGUUAGUAAACAAACUUCUUUCGCUGCAAUGAUCAAAGAAACAAAACUAAUAAUCUGGGAUGAAGCACUAAUGUCUAAAAAAGCAACAAUUGAAGCUUUAGAUGAUCUCUUAAGAGAUUUAAUGAAUUCAGAAGAAGUAUUUAGAGGAAAGGUAGUUGUGCUUGGUGGAGAUUUUAGACAAAUAUUGCCAGUUGUUAGAAAGGGAACAAAAGCUGAAAUGAUAAAUGCAUGUUUAAUAAAUUCUCCAUUAUGGCACAAAUUAAAAAAUUUACAAUUAAUAGAGAACAUGAGAGCAAAAUUAGAUCCUACAUUCACACAGUUUCUUUUAAAAAUUGGAGAUGGAACACCGGAAACAUAUGAGAAUGAUAUAGUAAAACUUUCAUCUUCAAUUAUAGUUAACUAUAAUAAUGAGACUGAUGCAAUUAAAAAACUAAUCAAUAUUAUGUAUCUUUAAUUUAAAGAUCCUUCAAAGAAAUUGCAUUGCUCACAAAAUAGAGCAAUUUUAACUACAAAGAGUAACUUUGUAGAUGAACUAAAUGAUCAAUUGACCGAAAAAUUUCCAAGAGAUUUGACUGAGUACUUAAACUAUGAUGAAGCACUGAAUGAAAUCAUUAAUCUGAAUAUAUUGAUCUCUUAAAUACUCUUACGCCUAACAAUUUACCUCCACAUAUGUUACUGUUAAAAUCCAAUGCCCCAAUAAUUCUUUUAAGAAAUCUUGAUCCUACUGAAGGAUUAUGCAAUGGGACAAGACUGAUAAUAAAGAGUUUGAGCAAGAAUGUUAUUUGUGCUAAAAUUGUAGUCGGUGAUUUUUGUGACAAAGAAGUUUUUAUACAUAGAAUUUUCAUGUAGCCACUAAGUGAUGAACAAUAUCCAGUUCCAUAUAAGAGAACACAAUUUUCAAUUCGUUUGUGCUUUGCGAUGACAAUAAAUAAAACACAAAGCCAAACUUUAGAUUUUGUUGGUAUUUAUUUGAAAGAACCUAUGUUUUCACAUGGCCAAUUAUAUGUUGCACUUUCAAGAGCCAAAAUAGCUUCAGCUGUAAAAGUGCUUAUCAGGCGAACUUAUUUUGAUAAAUCAUGCACUAAUCAUACUAAAAAUAUAGUACAUAAAGAAGUUCUUGAAGCUUUCCAGAUUGCAUUAUCAGGUUUUAAUAUUCAUGGCCUUUUUUGUUUAGAAAUUUAUUAUUUUGUUUAAUUGACUAUCUAAUUUCUCUAUGAAUAUAGGUCAUCAUGCCUAGACAUAUAUCUUCAGUGCUAGACAUUCAGAAAGGAGCAGAAAAAUAGACUGUUCUAGCACAAGUUGUUCACAAGGCCACAAUCAACUGACUCGUGAAGUUCCACCUAAGCGAAUUAUGCGCUUUCUGCUCAUAGAUAUUGAGGUCAGCAAAUACUUUCCUAUUUCUCUGCUCAUUAAAUUCAUUUCUGAGAACAUUUCAGAAUCUGUAUAAGAACAUUUCAUGAUUUGUCUGUUCAUUACAUUUGCUUAAGAAAAAAUCCUUAGUAUUCAUGUAAGUUUAUACAUACUAUGAUAUUAGAACUAUAGUUUCAUUGUAAGUGAAUAAUCACCUAACUAUUAAAGUAUUCAUUUCUAUAAUUUUAAUUUCUAUGUGAUAAAUAUGAUGUUAGCCAUCAAGAUGACAGUUAUGAUUUUAACUCAUAAUAUAUAUAAAACUAACUUUUCCUAAUCCUAAUCAGGGAACAAAAGUUUUUGUUGUCACCUAUGAACAACACAUCAAGGUCUUCAGCAAAUUUCUACAGCCUUAUCAAAGAUAUUAUGUUUCUAAUGCAAUUGUCGUUCCUGCUGACCCAACAUACAGAGUUGGGACCUAUGAAUGCUCUUGAAUUUUGAACUACAAGACUUUGAUUAAAAAUUAUGCUGAACCUGUGCCACCUUUGUUGCCUUGCAUAUAUUUGAGCUGACAAACUUCUAUAAGCUACACAGAUAUGCAGAUUCAGAUAAUAUUUGUAGUAAUUUUUCUUACAUUAUUUUUUAAUUUACUUGACAAUCAUUUGAUAUUUUAUUGAUUGCUUACAUCCAUAUUAAUAAUUUUAUUUCAGAUAUUAGAGGCUUUGUGAUUCAGGCAUUACCAGUAAAAAAGGCAGAUCCAGAUUGUACUUCUAGAGACAUUAUAAUAGUGAAUGAAGAGUAAAUCAAAUCUGAAUAUUACCUUUUUAUUAAGUCAUUUUAGAUUAAUGAUAGCAGUUACAAAUUUUUGUUAUACCUGACAGGAAAAAACUCAUGCUUAUGACUCUUUGGAAUGAAUUUGAACAUGAUGAAGAGAGCAAAAUAGCAGACAUGAUUAGCACUGCCCCUCUAAUCAUAGCUCUCCGUGUUAAAGCUAGGGGUGUUUCGCGAAUCGAUCCGCUCGCGAGCGGCUCGAAUACGAGCUCGACUCGAGCUCGUCAAUAUCGAGUUCGAGUCGAGCUCGAGCCAAUUAAGUCGAUCUCGAGCUCAAAAACAUUAAGCUCGUUGGCUCGCGAGCUCAAUUAUAUAUUUAUUUUUUAUUUUUUAUUUUUUAUUUAAUAGUAAAAUUACCUAUAUAUUUCUAAUAUUUUAUUAUUUGUUAAAAAAAUUAUUAUUUUAUUCAUUUUUAAAAAUAAAUAUUUAUUUUUUUUAAAAAAAAUAAAAUAAUAAUUAUUAUUUUUUUAUUUUUUAAGCUCGACUCGAAUUUGACUCGAGCUCGAGCUCGAGCUUGAUAUUUUAACCUCGUCGAGGUCGAGCUCGAGUUUCACAAAAUUAACUCGAGCUCGGCUCGUUUAGCCAAAACUCGGCUCGAGUUCGUCUCGUUUGCACCCCUAGUUAAAGCGACCACAUUCAAUAGUAAAAUUUUCAUUAUGCAUUAUGAUUUCUUUACUAUUUGUCUUCUAAGUACUUGAUAUGUUAUAUUACUAAAACAUUUCAUCAUUUUUACAGUUUUAUCAUUCAUUACAAGGUAUUCAUCUGGAAUUCUGAUAAAUCCUUCACUCCCAGAUGGCCUCUCUUUUAGGCAAUGGUAAGUGUAAUUUUCUUUUUAUUUUUUACCAUAAAUUAUCAAUUCAUUUUACUGGUAAAUUUUUUAUUCGUGCUCUAAACAUAACCAAUCAGGUUUAGUUUGAACAAGGAAGAAAUAAAAAAUUUACUUGAUGCUAAAGCAUACAAUGAUGCAAACUGUUUACUUCCUCCUCCAAAUGAAGAAGAUAUCAAAGCAAUCAGCAAUUUUCACGCAUCAUUUUCAGUUGUAAGUGCCAUUUGUUAUUUUAAAAUUUUGUUUAAAUAUAACUAUUUUGUCUCUAAUUUACAUUCAAAUACUAUUCAUGGUUAGUGAACUCAGCAAAAGACAGCUUGGGUGCAAGGAACUGUCAAACUUGCAUAUGGAUUCACCAAAUAGUGGACUACUGCUUGUGUGAUUUGUCACAAAAUUGUGAAUGCUAACAUUGACUGGAUCAUCCAUUGUCCUUCAUGCAAAUAGUAAAGUGAUGUUGAAUUCAGGUUAGACCAUUAACUUAUGUUUCUAAAUUAAACAUUAUUCGGAUUUGUUACCAUAUAUUAAUCUUAAUUAUUUCACUCAAUUAAAGGGCUUGCAUUCCAAUUAUUAUAACUGAUGCUUCGAGCUCAAUACAUUGCAUUAUAUCUGGAGAAGAUGCUGAAAAAAUGAUUGAGUUCACUCCACUGCAACUUAAGCAAGCACAAGAAGAUGUAAGUAAAAAUUUUGUGUCUUAUAUUCAACCAUAAAUACAAAUAUACAUACAAAACAAUCAUUUUCUGGUUUCUGGUGUAGGGCCUUGGAAUAGACACUGAACUUAAUGAUACCUUGAAAAAGUACACAGUGGUAUGUUUUCUGAAAUCCUAUGAGACUCCCUUCCAAGGUCAACUCUAGAGAAAGAAUACUGUCAUUAAGGCUUACACUGCAGCUGAACUAUCGCAUAGUCCACUUCCACUGGCACUUCCAGAAAACACUCAAGUUUCUUCUGCACUUGGCAGUUCAUCAGCAAGGCAUGCAGAAAAAUCAUCAAAUAGUCAUACCAACCACAAAGUUGGUACUUGAAGAAAUUGCUGAAGCUAGUUCUUACAAAGAAGGCCAGGCAUCUACAACCAGUGGAGCAAAAAGAAGCCUUGAGUUUCCAAAAGAUUUACCAGCAGACACACUUGCUAAACAUGCAACAAAGACUCCUGAACAGUUUGCCAAAGAACCUACAAAAUCGUAUAGUCCACCUGGCAAUAUCAAAGAUAGUUCAGCAAAGAAAGCUAAAGCAAACGAAGACUGAUAUGGCCUAAUUCUGUACUUUUGUUAAAUCUUUUGUUCAUUGCCUUGGUGCUUGCCUUCAUUGCUUAGACAAUAUCUUUUGAAUUAUAUUAUGAUUCAUUAUUCUUUUGACUUAAAAAGUAAUGGAUCCUAAUAUAACUAUUAAUAGUUUAACCAUCAAUGUUGUAAUUCAAUAGGCAAUGAAACUUAUUUAAGCCUCCUAAUAUGCAAUUGUGGCUAGCACUCAAGUAUGUAUUCUACUAAGACAUAAAUGAUUGAGUUUAUGUAAUGAAUGAUUGUGAUUUGUAUAUUAUUUACCUCUUGAACCUAUAUAUACAUUAUGAUCUUUUAGCAAAUUAUCCUCAUUGUUAUAGAUUUAGUUGGUCAUAUCAGUGGGUAGACUGUGCAUUGCACGGCCAGACCCAUGCUAGUAUAUAUAUAUAGUAGAGGUACCUCGGCUAUGUAAGGCACCCUGGAAACUUAGUUGAAUACAUAGUAACAAAUCAUUUUAGUACAUAAUGAAUAGAGAUAUAACUAUAUAAGAAAAAAUUGAGUAUCAAAAUAAUUUAAAAGUUGUUGUGAAGAAAAAUUCUAUCUAUGAAGUUAGCCCCCUAUUUUUUUGUGAUUUGAACAAAGAUUUUUUAACCAGUAUUACGUGUAUAUAAUGGUACCAAAAAAGAAGAGAAAACAAAUCCAUUAUGAGUACAUUGUUGGUUUAAUAACAACAAAAUUUUAGUUGUAAUUAAACAAAACAAUCAUAUUAUUUCUAGCACUUUAAUAAAUAAAUUUUUUUUGAUAGUUUAACCAGAAGAGUUUUAGUGCCUGUUUGAUAACAUAAAAAAGUGCUGAAACUGAAUUCAUUCAAACAUUCAGAUGUUGUGGGUAUUUGAUAAAUAAAAAUUCACCUGCUGAAUUUAUUAAGUGGUACUGAAUUUGUAUGUAUUUUUUUCAGCACAAGAAUCGUAGCUGAAUGCUUAAUUUGAUAAGAAUCAAGAGAUUUACUUCAACUACUUUAUCUUAUCUACCAAAUAUAUCCCUGUUUGUUAAUUACAUUCAAAAUCCUUAUCUAAUUAAACAACCUAAUAUUUCCUAUUUAAAAUCCUUAUCUAAUAAAACAAAACAACCUGAUAUUCUCUAUUCAAAAUUUUUUUCUAACAAUAGUAUUUUUUUGCAGUAAUUUUCAUCCACAAACAUUUAUAUUUUCAUAUAUAUAUUUUUUUGUGCAGAUAAAUAUUAUUUAUGUGAUGCAACUUAUCCACACACACGUGGCUUUGUGACACCAUAUCGAAAUAUUAGAUAUUGGUUGUCUGAUUUUCGAAAUGCUUCUCGUCCAAGAUCAAAAGAAUAACGUUUUAACCAAGCACAUGCAAGAUUGAGAAAUGUAAUUGAACGUGCUCUUGGAGUAUUAAAAGCUCGUUUUCCUAUUUUUAAAACGAUGAAACCAUACCCUUUUCCCACACAAAGAAAUAUUGUCAUUGUAUUCAUUGCUCUUCACAAUCAUUGUCAUUUUCAUACCUAACAAUUUUAAAUUAAUUAAAUCAUAGGUUCUAUUUUCUUUUUGGAUUAAAAGAUAGAAGGGCAAAAUUGUACAAUUUAGCUUCUUAAGCAUUAAGUUAUGAAUAUUUAUCAAACAGUAUAAAUAGAUUCAACAUUAAGAUUCAGACAUUCAUAUAUCUCUUUUCAGUACUUAAAAUUCAGCAAAUGAAUUAUUUCAGUAUUCAGAGUUCAGAAUUCAGAAUUCAAAUUCAGUGUUAUCAAACGGAGCCUUAGAGAACAUGGAGUACUGAGAUUUUGUUGUACAAUUUCGUAAAUGUUGCAGAAUAGAAUGUACCAAAAAUAUGACAGCUAUAUUUGGUAUUUUGUCAUGUUAAUCUCUAAACACACCAUAAAAAAAUUCCUAAAUCCAGUAGAAAGAAAGGAUACAGAUAUAAGAAAGUGAACAAGGCACUAAUUGGGAAGUUUAAGGAGCCACCACACACUCACACACAAAAAAUAUAAUAUAUAUAUAUAUAUAUAACUUAAAUUAAUUUUGGGACAACACCUGUAUGUUUUGACUCCUGCAAUUCCAAGAUUAGAUGUCCAAAAAAGCGUCACCUCUUGAUGUAGAUUAUAGUAGUGUUUUUGAAUAGAAUAGUUUGAGAUAUUAUUUGGAAUAAUUAUUGUAAUAAUUUUUAGGAUAAAAAAUAAAAAAGUUUCCUCUGGUAAACCUAAUAUACAGAAAAGUUUCAUGUAAUUUCAAAAUAUACAACACGACACCCCAUAUUUUGAAUUAAAUUAUAAAUGCGACGGAAUCCAUUAAACUUAACAAAAAUGGAUGAAAUGACCAAAAUGCCCUGAUAUAAUUAAGUAAAAGACGGCUCAAAAAAAUUAUUUAUUUUAUUCUCUAGAUAAAGAGAAUUGAGGGUUAAAGGGUAGAACAUGUAUAUUUGUUAAAAAUUAUGUAUAAAUUUUUUUUUAACUUCCAAUAAGUCAUUACCGUUAAAUUUAACGGAUUCCGUCAACUUUAUAAUUUAGUUCAAAGUACGGAGUAUCGUGUUGUAUAUUUUGAAACCAUGGGGAAUUUUUUGUAUAUUUGAUUUACCACAUGGAACUUUUUUAUAGUUUAUUCUACUUUUUAUGAUGUAAUAUAUAUAUAUAGAAUAAAAAUGUGAAUUGAGAAAUAUGUUUAUAAUGUAAAUAAAGUAUUAUUUAUUUGAAAUAAUUUAACUAUCUAACAACUCUACCGAAAAAACCUGUAUCUUACCUUAUCCAAAUUGAAGAAAAGAUGGGAAGAUGGUAGCAUUUGUUGCUCAAAAUGAGAUUAGCUUUAAAGGACUACCUUUUGAGCUGGAACAAAAAAUUUGUCGUGUAUUUGAUCUAAAAAGAUUGCGAACGAGACUCGAUAAGGGUUCAAGUUAAACAUGCAAAGAAAUGUCUUGAAAGAUAUCAACCUUUUCACCUGGAGAAUAUAUAUUAACAAAUGAAUAGCGUUUGAGCUUUAAUAUGUGUCUUAAGUCGAACUUCAACUCUAUUAUAUGCUCAAUCUGUUUUUCUUUGUGGUAAUAAUGAUUAUUACCUUCUUGAUAAUCGAGUAUGUAGCUCAUAUUGCCUUUUUAAGUUCUAACAUAACCAUAUUAGGGUAGGGUUCAGUUGGGCUCAAUUUCUUGGAAGUUGCAGCCCUGCUAAAGAUUAUCUUUCCUCGCACCUACAAUGAAGGAUGAGGGGCAGGCCCGUCCUCGAUUGGUGUACAAGAAUAAUAUCAGACACCCCUCCUGAGGUUUCUCUUAAUAUUACUUAGCACUCUUAAAUAUUUAAAAAAUCACUUACCUCCCUUUAGUUAUUUGUGUAACAAAAUUUUCAAAAAUCCUAAAUUACCCUUCUACUUGCUAAAUAAAAGUACUCCUAGAUCACUUUUUUUACUUCAAAAAAUCAUCAUUUAAAAAAUAAUUUCUAAUAGUACUACCACAUCAUAAUGCUAUAGUUUAUAAAAAAUAUAUAUUUGAAAAAUAAAAAGAUAUUUGCAAUGAAAUACAGUUGAUUAAUUUAACUCUACAUACUCAAAACCGAUUUUUUAUGAACUUUAUCUUUUUUUUUUCAACUUUUUCUCAACUAGUGCUCAAAUCUUUAAAUUGUAUUGAUCAUUAUAAAAAACAACUCAAAAUAAGUAAAUGAAUCAUACCGCACUUUAUCACAAUUAUAAAAAGUAAAAGGUAAUAAAAUUUAAUUUAUUAUAAUUUACAAAUAGAAAAUUGCAUAGUCAUCCAAAAAAUGAGUAAGAGAGAAUAUUGGAGAAAAGAAAAAGAGAAAAAAGUGACUUUUGUUUUUUUUUUUUCUAAUUUUUAGCUCCAUUUAUUUGAUAUACUGCCUCCGUCCCAUUGUUAAUGUCAUGUUUUCACUUUUUUGUUAUUCCAAAAUAAGAGUCUCAUGGCAAAAGUCAAACAACUUUCACUACUACUUUCCUUUUAUACCCUUAGUAAUAAUGACAAGAUUCCAUCAAUUAAUAAUAAACAAUUACAUAUGCCCCACCACAACACAUGCACACUUUCACCAUUCCUGUGACCUUUUGCUUUUAGCUGGCUAUUUCCGUGUGUCAGACAAGGGGUAAAACUGAAAGAAUAUGAAAAGUGCAGUCCACUAUUUUACUGUGCAUAAAAAGUGUUACUCCCAAAAAACGUUCCAAAUUUUGGGACGGAGGGAGUAUAAAUUAUGUUUCAAGUGAGGGUUAAUAUAGUCUUUUUGCAAUUACCAAAGGAGGUAAGUGACUUUUUUGAAACCUUAGGGGUGUCAGGUGAUAUUAGGAGAAACCUCAUGGGAGGUAUAUGAUAUAAUAAACGUAAUAUAUUAUAAACGAAUUGUAUAUAACUUUUGUAAUACAACUGGAAACAUUUGAAGUCUUGCUCACAAUAUGGCCCUACGUGUCAUACGAAUAUGCAUCAUGUAAUUAAGGCAAUACAUCUCAAUUUUUUUCUAUUUGUUGUAGAACACAAACGAAUUGAAUUCAAUUGAAUCAUUUGCAAGUUUGUUUGAUCAAAAUUCGAGUUUGAAUUUCAUCCCGUAUUAAUUGAGUUCCUCUGAAUUUGAAUAGUUUGAUUUUGAACUCAUACCUUAUGUGUGUAAAAGUAAAAAAUUUAUUAAACUUCAUGGAAUUUCAAAUAUCUAUAACAUUGAGUUAGAUUCAAACUUAAGUGAUCGAGUAAACUAAACUAAAAUUAGACCGGGAUCGAGAUCAAACUCAAGAUUGAGUUGUGAAAGCCCUAAUUAGUACUCAAAUUAUGGCCACCAAUAACAAUAGGCAAUCGACUCAGCUCCUCUUUCCGCGAACAACACAGUUACAUAAGGUGAAAAGGGAAAAUAAAUGGACAGGAACCAAUUGGCUUAAGGUUUAGAUUAGACUUAGGAGUCUCCCUAUAAAAAAAUUAAAAAGAAAUUAUCCCAUCAUCCUAAUUAUUAAACCGAAUCAACUGAAUCAAGUCUCUCCCUCCCUUUUUCUCACUCUCCCCCGAGGAGGAGGAGAAGAAGAAUCGCGUAUAAAUGCACCGACACUCAAAGUCACUCUCCAAAUAACAAGAAAGAAAGAGGAAAGGAAAGCCAAAAUGGGAUCUCUUCCACCCCUGCAAUUCAUCCCAAAUCCCGAUCCCAAUUGCAAAGAUCAUCAACAAGAAUUGAUAAACCCUGAUAACUUGCUCAAUCUCUUCAAAACCCAGCAAAAAUACCUCAACCAUUUCUUCCAAAACCUUGAUCUUUCUCAGACCCUUUCGUUCACUCAAACUCUCCUCAAUUCCACCGGCACCAUUUUCUUCACCGGCGUCGGGAAGUCUGGAUUUGUAGCUCAGAAGAUCUCGCAGACCCUCGUUUCGCUCGGGAUCAAGUCCGGGUUUUUAUCCCCUGUGGACGCGCUUCAUGGGGACAUCGGCAUUUUGUCUUCGGCUGAUGUUCUGGUUAUGUUUAGCAAGAGCGGGAAUACGGAGGAGUUGGUCAGGCUGGCGCCUUGUGCCAAGGCUAAAGGAGCGUAUUUGAUCUCGAUUACGUCUCUGGAGCCCAAUGCCUUGAUGGGUUUGUGUGAUAUGAAUGUGAAUUUGCCGCUGGAGAGAGAAUUGUGCCCCUUUGAUUUGGCCCCUGUGACGUCGACCGCGAUUCAGAUGGUUUUUGGGGAUACGGUGGCGAUUGCUCUGAUGGGUGCCCGGAAUUUUAACAAAGAAAUGUACGCUGCCAAUCAUCCAGCUGGAAGAAUUGGGAAAAGCUUGAUCUUUAAGGUAUAAAAAGUUUUUAAAAUUUUUUCUCGAUUUUCUACAUUGCAACGUUGACUAGGUUGGAAAUUAUCUGUUGAAGUUACAAAAUAGAUAGAAGAACGUUUUGAUGGGGAAUUUCCUGAUUUUGUGCUUCUUCUUGACGAGAUUAUGAGAAUUUGGUGUGUAAUUUUUGUCGGUUUAAAGAUAAAAGACAGUUAGUGUAGGUUGGGAAGUUUGAAGCAGCUUUAUUUUUUGUGUUCUACAGUGGGAUUUUGUGAACCUUCUUAAUUCAAUGUGUAGACUUUUUUUUUAUUUUUAUUUUCCUGUGGCGACUAUACAAUGAAUUAUGUUCAGAUGGGUGGUAUUGAAGGUUGCAUUGGUUUCACUGAAGGGAUAUUGUCGUGAAUAUAUGCUUGUCGGUUUGAAAUUGUUAAAUGGUGAAUUUCUUGUUUCAUUGGCAAUACUAUAUUCUAUACUUGAACUUCGAGAAUGGGGCUGAGUAGAACAUUUAUCAAUAGUCUAGUGCCAAAAUAUGCUAAACAGCUGAUGAGCAUAGAGCUUUAGCACUUUUGCUCUAGCAUAGGGGAUUCAGGGAAGCAACUUUUAUUGGUAUUGAAGGAUCGCCUUUGACAUUUACCUCCUGACUAGAUGGCUUUAUUUGAAUGGGAUGAUUUUUUUGCAGGUAAAGGAUCUCAUGAAGAAGAAGGAUGAACUUCCAGUUUGCAGGGAGGGGGAUCUGAUUAUGGAUCAACUAGUAGAGCUAACCAGCAAAGGAUGUGGAUGCCUUCUCGUUGUUGAUAAUGAUUACCAUUUGUUAGGUACUUUUACUGAUGGUGAUCUACGGCGCACAUUGAAAGCUAGUGGUGAAGGAAUCUUUAAGCUCACCGUGGGUGAAAUGUGUAACAGGUAGUUUAUAGCUUUUGUGUGUAUGGAUAUACAUAUGAAAUUGAAACAUGCUAGAUCCUUGUUACUUGAAUCAUCCACUUGUUUAUAAGGUGCUGCCUGUGUUAGGGGAAGGGAAGCAGUGGUUUGGGAGAAUGUUUAGGUCCUUAGUUUGGCUUUACUAGGUUACUGUGAAAACGAGAAAAGAAUUCGAGGCUACUGGUUAAAGCCGUGCAAUACUUUUAAAGUCCAGGAAAGCCAAUAGACUAGUUCUUGGAAUUAUAACAACGAGCCAGUUAAACCACAUGCAUGCAUGACCAAAAAGAAUUGCUUUCAGCAAGAUUAUAUCCCUUUAAAACUGCAAUGUAUGUUAUUCACUGUAAUCAUUUUUGCCCUUCAAGUAAGCAGCCAAAUGGAUUCACUCUGCUGUAACAGCAGUUGAGGUUUUGAUUUCAACUUGCUGUUCUCUUUAUCUGUACCGAGUUAGAUGGCAUUUGAACUUCAUGGCAUCUGGCUAAUUUUCUAUAUUCAUAUUGGCCUGGUUGUAUUAAGAUGUUUGCAAUCUGAGGUCAUAGAUUCUGGAUUUGUUUGGUCAUUGGCAGGUCCUGGAUCACUGACACUCUUGCAUAACUGACCUUAUUUUUUAUCAUCUCCCCUUCAUUUGAGCCUUUUUGUGUUUGGUUUAUUUGGCUAUCUGCUGAUGUGCCUUAAACUGUGGAUGUGGAAAAUGCGGUGGAGUUUUUUAAGAUAAGAACAAUGCAUUUGCAUGACCCUUGUCACAUUUCAGGCGCCCAAGAACAAUUGAUCCCGAUGCAAUGGCAGUUGAAGCGAUGAAGAAGAUGGAAUCUCCACCAUCUGCAGUACAAUUCUUGCCUGUAGUCAAUCAUGACAAUAUCUUGAUCGGUAUUGUGACCUUGCACGGAUUGGUUUCAGCUGGGUUAUGAUUGGUUGCUUCACUUGUCCUCCUCCUCCUCCCCUCCCAUUUGUUGUGCAAUUUAUAGCAUCGUCAUUCUUUGUAUUCUUUUCCAUUCCUCCCGGUGAGGUCAUGUAUGAUGAAUCUGUCUGUCUACUAGUGAUUACUCUCUCAGUGCCAUUGAAGGACAUCAAAAUGUUAAAAGUCUUGUGGCAAAUGAAGGCUGUGGAUGUUAGUCUAGUUACCAGCUUCGAUGGCUGAAUAGUGUUGUAACAAGUGAAGAAUAUUGAAGUUCAUGAUUCUAAAUUUCCAGCAAACUGGACUUCCCCUUUUUUAUCGGAUCAAAAGCCACGCUCGGUUUAGGCAUGAUCAGGACGGAGCUAUAAUGAUUUCCACCUUCUAAACCUGGAAUAGCUGCCUGUGCGAAGAUACCAGUUCGAUCACGGUUGGCUUUCAUCAGAUCAGGUUGUCGGUGCCAACUAUUGAUUUUUUCCAUUCUGGCAUUAUACUGGCGGUCCUGGAAUUGCUUGUCUUUAUUUACUUGUUCGAAAAAUAUCCUGGUGUAUUUUGAUUUGUGCCUAUUGCUCCAGCACUAAUUACAGAAAAUGAUAGACUAUACUGCAUUUUGUUUUGUUCGGAAAAUAUCCUGGCAAAUAGCGGUGUAAUCGGUCCUUGGUGGCACCAGAAACAUCUUUUACAUCUCACGCGCAUGCGGUCCUGUGCAAUGACUUGGAAAGAAUUAACGGGUAAAGAUGUCAAAAUGACAAAUAAAGUGGAGUGUAUGAGGUGAAUGUGGUUAGGGCCGCAAUCGAAUCAAUGGUUGCAGCCCUAACUGUGGUGUGUGCGAAUAAUGAAAUGCAAAUGCUUAUUGUUUCGGCUGUUAAUGAAUUGCGACUACAUCUACUAAUUUGCCCUUUUGGUUUGUGCCGAGAAUGUGUAACUUUUGUGAAAUGCUAAAACUUCAAAGGGAAUUUGAAGUGUAUAUGCUAAAACUACAUAUUUAUGUAUGUGGAUUAAUCUUUUUUUACAUGCACUGAUCGAUAAUGUUGGAAGAACCUCGUAUCAUUUGAAUUUGAAUUUAAACAUCAAAUUUUGUAUAUGUGUUAUGUAUCUAAAUUUUCUAGUAUCUAUACUGUAAGUAUAUAAAAGAUUUAUUCACUUCCCCAGUUCUACUCCUACAUUGAUAUUUUUUUCUUUUUUCACGCAGUUUUUUUUUUCAUUGUCCUUUUGUUCUCCAACAACUGCAUGGAGGUCACACGGUAAAUUAUCUUUUCAGUGUAUAAAAGAUUUAUCCUUUUUUAAUCCACUUCCUUCGUUCCACUCCUGCUUCGAUAAUUUUUUUUUUCACACAUUUUUUUUUUCAUUAUUGUCUUUUCGUUCUCCAACCAACGACUGCAUAGAGGUCACACGGUAAAUUAUCUUUUAUCAAGUGGUUGAUAUUUUGUUCAACUAAUAGAUGAUUCAUCUGAACUGCUUCCUUAGUUUUGUGGCGGUCACAAUCAAGCAUAACAGUUAAAGCACAACAUCAGAGACCAGAGAGUAAAUUGAGAGGUCAAAAAAAAAACCACCAACGUAUCCUCAAUCCCCCACUUCUCACUGCUUCUCGUUGUUUCUCAGGUAUCCGCUAGUUUCAUUCUUCACCAUUCAAUCUCGUAGUAAAGUGGACCUGGAAACCGUGAUGACCUGAUGACUGGCCAGUGACUGUCAUGGCACUGAAAUUCAAUGGUCAGCUUCUUCUUCCUUCGUAUCCCAAAUUCCCAACGACUGAUCAAUUGCCCAUCAAAGUCUCUGCUUGUCAUCCUCCAUUUGCAGACCAUAGACUGCUACAAUUACAUUCCCCCAACAAGGCAAAGAAGCCAUUUUUGUUAUCCAAAGUACUCUCACUAGCCAUCGCUAUAACCCUAUCAUCCUCCGAGUCUCCAUCACCUUCCUUGGCUAUCCCUGCUCUCAAUGGUUCCCAGACUUCUCAGUCUCCUUUACUCCCUACAACUACUCCAUUUUCUCAAGCCAAAAACUUGCCAAUUGGGCUGGAAAACGGGUAUUUCUGUUACAACUUUCUCAAGUUUUUGUUACUUCAUUUAUUGCACUAGAGAAAUAUGAAUUGGUAUUCCAAUGUGGUUCAGUAGUUUCCUAGCAGUUGUUGAAAAUUAGAAAUGGGAUCAUCUCAAACACAUGGUUGGUUACUUCAAGAACCUGAAUUGGCAUCGAAUAAUCUCACAGGACCCACUAUUCUGCAAUUCGAUGGUGUUUUAUUGCUUUCUUUCACUUCAAUUAGUGAUGGUUCUAAUUUCAACGUGAUUGUUUUUUAUCCUUAUCCUUUCUUAUUGCUCAUUGGUAGUUCUGCUAUCUUUUUCCCAGAAAAAUCAGGCCUUGCCCCUCCAUAAAUCCAGGUUGUGUAUCAACUAACCCCAACUCGGCUUCUUUUGCAUUACCAUGGGUGAUCCCUGAAAGUUCUUCACGAGAUGCCAUUAAGGUGUAGUGGUACAUUCAAGGGAUACGAAGUUCUGACUAAAGAUUUGAGACACCUUUUACUCAGACUUGAUUCUCUUUUACUAUUCUGUUUCUGAUGGCAGCAAUUAGAGGAUGCAAUUCUCAUGACACAGAAGAAUGUGAAGAUCCAAAGCGUUGAAGACACUCCAUAUGGUAAGAGGCAUAUUCGAAGUUCCAUAUCAGAAUCAUAUAAUGAAGCCUUAAAAUAAUUUGACAUGGUUUGAGUCUUUAUCAUCUGGAGGGAAGUGUUCUAGAAAGAGAAAAGGCUGAUUAUAUAGUGAUUUUUUUCUUAUUUUUGGUGUUAAAUGUUGGAACUUUUGCUGAUCAUGGGACAAAUCCAGGUAAAUACCUGCAGGCUGAGGUUGAUGGGGGAUUUAGCCGCGAUGUCUUGGAAUUUUUAGUAAAAGGAGGCGCAACUGUUACAUAUAGAGCUAUGGCCACAAAGGUGACUUAUGUUUACCCCUUCACUACAGCUUUUGGAGAUUCUAAAGGACAAGAAGAAAGAAUGAAGCAGAUUGUACAGCGGCUAGGGUGGUAUGCUCCAAAUCUUGAUUUUGAAGAUUAGAAUUCCACAGAGUGCAUACAUUAUUGAAUGGCGUUUGAACCACAAUGUAUAUAAAUUCUUUAAUUGGAACAUUCAGUUAAUAGAAGCUCUAUUUUGGCUUGUUUCGAGUUUUGGGAUGACACCUUUUCGAGUUUGAUUUCAUAGGCAAGCAUUUCUUGUAUCACUUGUAAAUCAUCGGUAUAUGAUCAUCGGUCUAAACAAAUAAAACUCUCACUUUUAGCCAUUCAAUUAAUGAAAACAUAUAAUUUUUCGAUCAGAAAAUGCAUAUUGUAAUUAGUUGAAUGACCAUUUUAACUAAAUAAAAAGGUUUAGUGGUAAAAGUAGAGAGUCCUAAAUUGGUAUAGCACUUGCAAAACUGGCAGUGAAUCUACACUAACAACAUGUGGCAUGGAGGAAAUGGAAGCUCUUGCAAGGCUGGUCAUGGAGAAAACCCUGUGUGUACAUGUCCUGCAUUUGACCGAGCAGAAGCCUUUGCCAUGGAAAAAGGGGUUGAAAGUUGAAACUACAGAUUCGAGCCAUUUCAUCAUUUGAUGCAACCGUGCAGGGAUAUAUGCCCAUCAUCUUCAAUUCAACAACUUCCAUUAUUUUUUUAGAAGGGAACAUUAACAUAGUUGGAUGAGUUAUAUAAAACAAGAAUUAGUUGGAUGAGUUAUAUAAAAUUUGCAAAAGAAUGAGUUUAAUAGUCUGUGGCAUACCCUUAAAAAAAAAAAAGGGAUUCGAAGUCUCGAAAUCCUGUACACAACUGCCCUUUUUUUUUUACCCUCCCACCCUUUUUCACGCCCUUUCUGCCGUCAACUAUCAAGCACACGACUGAAGUAAGAUAUGCAUAUAAUUUUACUUCUUCGUGAACCAUCAAACAUAAAUUCGACCAAAGUAAUACGCUGAAUGGGCUGAAAGCCUUCCACAAAGGAUCCUAUAACUAGAGGUGUUAAACUUCACAAGUAGCUCGAAAGCUCGUUAGAGCUCGGCUCGAUAAGGCUCGAGCUCGGCUCGUUAGUUGCGGUAAAUGAGCCGAGCUCAAGCUAGAAAUGUGCUCGUUUAGUUAACGAGCCGAGUAAGCUUGGCUCGUUUGAUAUCCGAGUAGCUCGUUAGAUCUCGUUAAUAAAGGGCAUAUUUGUCAUUUUAGAAGUCAAAAGUAUAAAAAUUGAAAAUUAUAGAUUUUAUUGAGAUUAAUUUGCACAAGCUCGAGCUCGAGCUCAUACAAGCUCGACUCGUUUGUGAUAAAUGAGUUGAGCUCGAGCUUAAUUUGCACAAGCUCGAGCUCGAGCUCAUACAAGCUCGACUCGUUUGUGAUAAAUGAGUUGAGGUCGAGCUCGAACUCGAGCCACAUGUACAUUUGACCAGCCGAGUUCGAACACAUUUUUUGGGAUGAUUAAUAGACAAUAAUCUUAUUUUUCAUUACUUGUCAUUGUACGUGGUUUGCUAUUUUAAGUGACUUAAAUUCAUACGGGUGUGUAGUGCAUCCGUCUGAUUCGAUAGUAGUUUAGUUUCUGUCGAUUUUUCAAUAGGUUCAGUUGGACCCUUCCAUUUAAAAUAGGUUAGAGUAGGAGCAGGUGUAGGAUAAAUAACGUUGAUUGACAAAAAAAAAAAAAAUAACGGACGGCAGCGGCCUUGGCCUUUGUCAACCGAACAUGGAAGGAAAGCGUGAUUCCAACUCUGUCAAAAAUAACGCCUUCGAAUAAAAGUCCUUUUAGCAUUUUUUAACCACAUAUAUAACACAAUUAACUAGUGGUUUGGGUGCAGAAGACUGGUGGAUUAAGUAAGUGGUCUACUUUAGUUAAAUUCGACUGGGCGUUCCUCCGCCGUCAUCCCAAGCAAUAUGUCUCCGGUGGCCGCAGCCACUAGCUUCCAUGGCCUCCCCUUCCCUGAAUUCCCUCAAUACCCCUCUCUUCCCCGUCAUCACCUUCUCAUCCCUAAACCACCCUUUUCCCCUCUCUCCCACCCCACAGUAAGCCUACUUUUCACACACACACACACACACACUCGAAAACAUGCACUUUAGUUUGUUUGUCUAUAAUUCAGUGUUACAUGAAAAGAUGUUUCCUGCAGACAUUUCUGAAGUUCCGGCCGGGUCAGCAUUAUCAAACAAGGCUUUUCAUUCGCCGUCCUCAGUACUCAAUUACAACAAAACCGCAAGGUAUUUCAGAAAAAUAAGAAAAGAAUAGACCUUUUCUUUGUAGUUUUCCUCUGAUUAAUUUUUUUAAUAUUGCAUGCUGCAUUGAAGAAAAUGCUGGAAAAAAAUUGUUGGUUUGUUUUCCUGUUACAGAAUUUAGUGAUACUACCUAUGAUCGAGAGCUUCGGUACGUGCUUGAGCUUGCUACAGACGCUGAAUUAUAUGAGCUUGAGCAAAUUUUAUUUGGUACAAGGUACUUUUUGUUUCCUUGUUUUGCAUAUUUCCUUUUUGUACUGUUUUGUUAUUGUUUCAUUGAGCAGAAGUGUGUGAUUGGAGGAUGUGUUAAAUUUUUGUUUUUGGUUUUGGGGGCUCAAUUUUGAGUGUGUUUGCAGUUAUUUUAGUCCGUUAUUGAAGUCGAUUGCAAAAAAGGAAGAUAUUGAUUACUAUAUGAUUGGAGAGGACCCGGAGGAAAGAGAUGAGUAUAUAUCCAUGUUGGAGAAGAGAUUCUUGUACCUUGCUGCCGAUGCGCGCUCUGUUUUAAGGUUACUUUUUAACCUUGCUAGUUGUGGUUAAUGAAAAUUGACUUUAUAAUAAUGUUGUUAAAUUUUUAGGAAUGUGAAUUUCUGUGCAAUAAAGUGAUUAAGCUUCGUUGUUCAGUAAGUUCUCUGCUGAAAUUUACUCCAACUGUUGUAAUAAGCUGAGCAAAAUAAGUUCUAAGUUGGGUUUUAUAAAGUUGAUGAACAUCAUAAUCCCACCCUCCCUCCCUCUCUCAUGUUGGACUAUGCUGUUUAAAUGAAUAGAAGAAUGAAAUUUGCACGUGUAUUUUUGUUUUUAGGCAAUGUUCAGUGAAUGCUUAUUUUCAUUUGGUAUUGUGAGGCCAAAAUUUUGUAAUGCAACCAAGUGAAUUCAACCGUUUGCUGUUGCUUAAUAUUGAAUGCUUGAUACCUAUAGGUUUAUUCAGUGUUCUUUGGUGGAGUAUGUACUGUAGUCUGGCAUAAUUUUUUGGUGAACUCGUGCUUCUUUGGUAAUGAAGCCUGUAAUCAUUGCUGAUCAAAUUCUGUUUUCUUCUUUUCUUCUUUUUUCCUUUUUUUUUCUCCCCAAGAGGUUUACUGGAUGUCAUGUUGAGCUCCUUUGAGUGACUCGAAUUGGCUUGUGCUGCUGUAGGGGUUGGAGGCCUUCCUAUAGGAACGUACUUCUUGGAGUGAGGAAAAAGUUAAAUAUACCUUGUUCAUCUAAAUUGGCUACCGAGGAUCUAGAAGCAGAGAUUUUUCUUCACAUGCUGCAAGACUAUUCAGGGUAUAUAAUGUGGUGCAGUUCUUUUAUGCUUGCAGUUUUGAAUCAACUUUCUGAGCAGAUAAUAUAGUUCUCAGCUGAUGGGACAUUAUUUGAACAAGCAUACUUCACUCAAAGUCUGCUAUGGAACUUGUGGCAAGAAAUUUUUUGCUGACUUCUGUUCUUCUUCUUCGUUGCUUUGUAAAUUCUUGUUUUGGAAUGUGCCGGCUGUUCGCAACAUUGCUGGCUAUUAGAUUUUCUGCAGAAGACUUUGAUGGAUAGAUGCUUGUAUCCUGGCAAUGAAAUUUAAGCCCAUAAAGUACAGUGGUCUAGUUAUUGGGCCUAAUUACUCUAAAGCUUCUUCUCAGCCCAAUAUAAUCUCAAUACCUAUAUAGUUCUUAAUGUUCAUAAUUCAUGAUAUAUGUAAAAACUCAUCAGUUGAGUCUAUGGCUGAUAAAAUUCAGAGCGGUGGAUAUCAGAGUUCAUUUAGGAGUUGAACUGAACCCAUGAUUUUACUAGUAAUGAGAUGAUGCCUUAGCCAUUCAGCCAUGGACAUUUUUGUGGUUGAAACUAUAAGAAUAGGAGCUGAAAUCCUGUACUGAUAUCUAAGACUAAACAAAAAUGAACCUUUUCUAUUAGAACAUAUCUCUGUGUCAAUUUCUGAGCCUCCGGCUGAUGAAAUUUUAUCGAUCAUAAAGAAGUUAUUGACAAAAUAUGUUCCAGACAUCGUGCAUUCAUAGUUUCGUUUUCUCCUCGGUGUCAAAAGCUGUGGAUCAAACUGGAAUUCUUUUUUCCUUUCUUCUUUUGAAGCAUCUAGUGAUUAAAAUCGUCUCAAGAACUAAAUUCUCUUUUUCUCUCUCUAGUCUUCUCCUCUAGAAAGCAACAUCUAGUUCACAAUGUUAUCAUAAAUUCCCAAGAUGUAAUCUGGUACAAGAUUUUGAGAAAUUAAUCACAUUUGGUUAAGAGUUGGAUGAAAAUUAAUUUAUUGCCUUGCUGGUGGGACUUUAAGUGUUUGACUUAUGCACAUGUUAUAUAAUCUAAUGAGAUUGAAGUCCUGCAAGUAAUCAAUAAGUGUCUAAUAAUGCUUGUCUAGUUGUAAACAACAGAUUUUCUUGUUUUUCCGCAUCUGCAGUUAAAUAAAACUAUGAACACAUAAUUUUCUUCAUAUCCUAGAGAUCACUAUAGCAUUUUUAAUUACUGACAUAUACCAAUGAUUUACUUGUGGCUUUAUAUAGACAAGCAUCUGGCAGCUUAAAUGGGUCACAGGAAAAUGUGAAAAAUUCUGAUGGCAAUGGUACUUUAGAACAUGGACUCAGUCAGUGGAAGGUCCAAACAGCUACUGCUUUAAGGGAUGGGGCUGCAGAUCUCAGAUCAAUGAUAUUGAAGGUUUUUGCUACUUGCAUUAAUUUGUACUUGGUUUUCUUAAUGAUCAUUUUCCAUGUAUAGUUCUUAAUUUGAUUGUAAUAUUAGGGUGGCGGGGUGCUCACACUGGGCAAAUUGUAUGAGCUGGUGAGAUUUAGUCCUAGGUUGUUUGCUGCAAAUUUUUUUAUCAUUUGUUACCAUGAGGUAGCUCAUUGUUGUAGCUAGCAAAGGGAUUAUCUGGAAAGAUGUUCCAGGAAGCUGCCAAGUAUCAGCUGAAGAAUGAAUUGAUUAAAGAGGUAUUAUGCUUUACUGAUAUUGAACAGCUUCAGAUUUUGUGCUGGAAUAGACAACAAAAACUGUUUCAUUCUCUAAAAGCUCCUCAAUAUUUUGUUCCACAUAAAAGUUAGCAUACCAAGUAUAUUUUACCUGUGCUGCAUAAGUUGAUAUUGGGAUCUAAAAAGAUUUGCAUACUACUUAAAUUGUUGAUGACUGUUUCUGCAGUCAAAAUUUUAGUCUGUCACUUUCUUUUGGAGUAUAAAGGCACAACUUAAUUUCACAAACUGUUAACAACUGGAGUAGUAGGCUACAAAUACUUGAUUGACCACCUAAUAUUGAGUUACUGACGUUUAUGAAAUAACUGUUUAAUGGCUGGAUUAACAAGAGACAUUUUAUCCAACUAAAGAAAUGUAUGUGAUGCUAUCCUUUACCUGGUGAUUGUGUUAUGAUUUGUCAGGACAAAGGUUGGAUUGCUAUAAUCUUUCAGCUCUUGAGAAAGAGGGCCUAUAAUAUUUUGGUAUUCUUACCAGAGUAUACGCUAUUGCUAGACACAUUUUUUUGUUGCUUACUCUUGUGUUGGGGACAGUAUACCUAGCUUGAGGACAUGCAAAAAAGUGGCCUAAUUGGUUUGCUAACUGGGUACCUUUGUUAAUAUUUUGCAGCUUGCUGUCUCAUCAUCUUUUAUAUGUAUAAGUGGUGAUUGAUAGUUCUGAAGUCUUUGCCAAGAUGUAUGAAAGUUACCUCGUGUACUUGGGUGACAUCAUCCUUAUGAUAAAAUUGGGAAAAAAUUGAGGAAAAGGAAGUUGUGCUGUUUAGCAUUUCAAUUAUGAUUGAAUGGAUCUCAUUUUGUAAGAUUGCUGGCUUAAACUGACCAAGGUUCCUGAAAAAUGUUGGUUUCCAGGGGGCAAAUUUGGCAGCUGUCAAUCUUGAAUCCAGAGCGGCUUUGCAUGCUGCAAAGCAGGUAAAGGUGUCAUACCAACUCUCUGACUAAUUAAACAAUGCUUCAAAUGGCUGAUAACUAGCUGCACCAUUUGGGUGGUAUAUCUGGAAAUGAUGUAGGAUCGCCAGAUCAUACACAAUUUAUACCUGUAGAGAUUGUUGAUAGACCAUUAGGUUGGACAAGUAAUACCUGUACUGAUUGUUGGAAUAUUGCGAAUAUUACAUAGAAUGAAAUGGUUCCCUUGUGUCUGUCUCUCUCUCAUCAUACACAAAAGCAUCCUUCAAUUACUUACUUCUGGCAAGUAGGAACCCUCGGAAAAUGGUCUGCGGAUGUAAGUGCAUAUGCAGGCUCCGGUCUUUUAGCUCUGAUGAGUAUGAAUUUGUUAUCUCUACAAAUAAACACAAUAAAUUUUAACAAUUUGAUGCACCAUAUGAUCUCCAUUUGUAAAUUCAACUCAUAUGCAGUAAUCUGAGGUUUGAAUUACAGAAAGUGAUUUUGGCUACUGUAGGAAUGCCAGUAAUAUGAUGUUUUCAUUCUAAAGUUUCCCUUUGUGAUUGUUGACAGAGUGUAGCAGGUGCAGCCUCCCGAUAUCUGGGGAUUAGGAGUAUGAUGACACUUUUGGGCCCAAUGUAAUAUCUCUUUUUAACUGGGAGAAUUUGUUACCUUUGUGUUGAUUGCAAACAUAUUUUGUCUGCAUUUUUGCAUUAUUGAUUUCGUGCAUCCAAAUCCUUCAAACUUCAACAUCUGGCCUGAGGCUAUUCUUUCAAAUUGCUUAUUUUACCGUGUGAUAGUGGGGUAUCCAUUGUGUUGCUAAACAUCUUGCCCCCAGAAGAAAACUAAGGCAUAGCUAAAAUAAUUAGAAUUCUGAUAUGCCAAGUUUCACCAGAAAGUACCUUUCAGUCUGAUUUUAUAGCCUUCAAAGUGAUAAAAAAAUGGAGAGAGAGGGUAAUGUUCUUCUUCACAAUUUCUACAGACAAUACAAGAUUCAUGAUGUGAUGACAAAUGGUAGUUAUUGUACUGAUGAUACCAGUGUUAACAUCUGAGUGUUUCUUGUGGAUACAAAACAACAAACCAAAUGAGAGGAAUGUUCUUCUCACAGAAUGUUCUUCUCACAGUAAGGCUGCCAAAGCAUCUCAAAAGGUGCAAAGAAUUAUGUUACUCUGUUUUACAGGAAGUUACAUUUGUAAUCAGGUAGAAUUAUUUCCUCUUAUGUAAUUAGCGAAUGACUAAUUGCAUCUUGUUAACUAAUUUAGGCUUCCUUUGAGACGUGCAUGUUUUGAGGAUGAUUAUUGUAUUAUGUGGGUUUUUUCUUGUCCUUGUUUAUGAUGUAGGCUGCGCAAUAUAGAAACUAUUUACAGUCAUGACGAGUAAGUCCAGCAGAAUCAGGAAACAGCUACUACCAGAAAAAUAAGGGAGCAGACCAAGUAACGAGAAAUUUUUAGCUGUGUUUAGAGAAAUCAUAAGGUUGAAAGGGGUAGUUGAAAGCCGAAACAAAUGAAAAAAAUGAUUUAACAAGAGAUAUGAGAGGGUGUGAAGUUGAAGUUUAGAAAAUUUUUCAAAAUAGUUAGCUUUUAAAUCUUUGGUCCUCAGUUUCUAGCAUCUGUCAUGCAGAUUGUGCUUGACUUCUGCUUAAACUAUGAUUUCUGCAGGCUCUGGGGAACUUUUCUCGCGGAUGUUGUCAUUCAAAUGCUCGGAACUGAUUAUGCUAGAAUCCUGCGGGCCAUCUAUGCAUUAGCACAGGUAUUCUGUGGCCAUGCCUGCAUAUCCUAAGUCAUUUAGAUUCAUUGUACAUGAUGGUUCAAAUUAGAAGCAUGGGAAUAAUCAUCAGUAAGCUGUUUUCUUGAGUCAAUAUUACCUAACCUUGAAUCUCUACAAGUCAUGUGUUUAUCUUUCCUGCAUUCCCACAAAUUUAAUACAAUUGAAAGUUGUAGUUAAUGUACUUAGAUUGAGUUCUUCUUGCAUUAUUUUGUUGAAUUAAGACUUUACAGAGAAUUAUAUUUUGAUUUAAUUUUUAGGAUAAAAGGAACUUUGAUUUUGACAUGUUGUGUCAAACUGGAAGUUAGUCUUCAAGUGUCUUUUAUUUUGAGAUUGUGGUUUAAGACCCAAUGGAAGGUUUAUCGAAUAAGGUUUUACAUGCAUUUGAUCUGCUUUUUUGAUAUGUCCUUUUUUCAAUGAUUGGCUUCAGAUUCGCAUCCUCCACACCAAAUAGGUAUCCACAUGAUAUUAACUGAGAGCGGCCUGUGAAAAUUGUACAGCACGUCUUGUCAGAACUGACAUCUUGUUUUGCUUCACGUUGGAUUCCACCAAGGUAUUUGCUGAAAAGUUAUCCGCAUGUUGCAACUGGGAAGGUGGUUCCACUAUUUAAUCUGGCUAUUGUAUAUAGUACACAUAGACAGCUCUAGUUUCGUUCUUCAGAAAUUUUUUAUAGGAGAAGCUGGUUGUAUAUGUCUUAUUCGACUGCAGGACUGCUUUGACUGCAUUAUCUUAGUUAAGGCACACACUUUGCCUAAUAUGAGUACUUCUGCAAGAUAUUAUUCCAAGUUCUGUUACUUCCUUUGUCCCAAAAUUUCGAGGAUAGUUGUCUUUUGCUUCUUUUUUCCUCCUUGAUUAAUGUAUGUUGUCUUCUGUAGAUGUACUUUCCGAGAGCAAUCAUAUUCUGUGUCAUUACUUUCUGUAGCAGUACCCUCUGCAAGAUGUUGAAAACUAAGCAAAGCUGGGAGUUUAGGACUUGUACAUCCUUACUUGAUCAGCAAAAUUUAUGUUUUAUAGCCGCAUCUUGCCUUCUCUAGUUGCUAUAAUUGAAUUGUGCCACGCGAUGAGGUAUAGGUUUGUCUCUGCCUGGUUUAGGUUAGAUGAGAAUCAUAUGUUGUAAGAUUUGCUGUAGAAGUUACCAAUCAACUAGAUAUCAUCUUGUUGGAAUCUCUCAGAAACCAUGACAUCCUGUUUAUAACCUACCAGACUUGCAUCAACAAUCACCAAACAAAAUACGUACUUCUAAAUUAAAUAACACAACUACUAAAAACUUGACUCCAAUAAAACUAGUGAGUAAAUAAAUAAAUACUUCUAAUCUUGAUUUAUUUUACAAACAAGGAUAAAUUCAGGUGUCGCCAUCCCAAAGUUCCUCGACCGAUUUGUAUGGCCCG